GCGCAUGUGGCGGAAUUGGUAGACGCGCUGUCUUCAGGUGGCAGUGUCCUAGGACGUGGAGGUUCGACUCCUCUCAUGCGCA
rnacentral:tRNA from 1 species